rnacentral:rRNA from 1 species
GAUGCUUUAGAGAUAAAGCGGAGGUAUUCGGGGAGACAGGUGGUGCAUGGUUGUCGUCAGCUCGUGUCGUGAGAUGUUGGGUUAAGUCCCGCAACGAGCGCAACCCCUAUUGCUAGUUACCAUCAUUAAGUUGGGGACUCUAGCGAGACUGCCAGUGAUAAACUGGAGGAAGGUGGGGAUGACGUCAAAUCAUCAUGCCCCUUAUGACCUGGGCUACAAACGUGAUACAAUGGCUGGAACAAAGGGAUGCGAAGCAGUGAUGUGGAGCGAAACCCAUAAAAACAGUCUCAGUUCGGAUUGAAGUCUGCAACUCGACUUCAUGAAGUCGGAAUCGCUAGUAAUCGCGGAUCAGAACGCCGCGGUGAAUACGUUCCCGGGCCUU